rnacentral:rRNA from 1 species
AUUGAACGCUGGCGGCGGGCCUAACACAUGCAAGUCGAGCGGAGUUUUCGGACCUAGCGGCGGACGGGUGAGUAAUGCGUAGGAAGCUGCCCGAUAGAGGGGGAUACCAGUUGGAAACGACUGUUAAUACCGCAUAAUGUCUACGGACCAAAGUGUGGGACCUUCGGGCCACAUGCUAUCGGAUGCGCCUACGUGGGAUUAGCUAGUUGGUGAGGUAAUGGCUCACCAAGGCGACGAUCUCUAGCUGGUUUGAGAGGAUGAUCAGCCACACUGGAACUGAGACACGGUCCAGACACCUACGGGAGGCAGCAGUGGGGAAUAUUGGACAAUGGGCGCAAGCCUGAUCCAGCCAUGCCGCGUGUGUGAAGAAGGCCUUCGGGUUGUAAAGCACUUUCAGCGAGGAGGAAGGGUGGUGUGUUAAUAGCACAUCAUUUUGACGUUACUCGCAGAAGAAGCACCGGCUAACUCUGUGCCAGCAGCCGCAGUAAUAC